ACUGAGUCGGUGACGCGCCUCAUCUUAACCAAGUAACCAAGGCUGAGGCUGUUGAAAGUCUUGCCAAAGGAUUUAAGAGGAAUGGAAUUUACCCUGGAGACCAUCACCUUCAAGAGACAACUGGAUGUGUUCCUGGGCACAAUCUCCCACCAUCUGACCCUGUUCUGCUAUCAGUCACCAAUCAAGGGCUAGAAACAAACCACUGCAUCAAGCAUCAGUUGGCCCAAGUUACACCACUUUUGAUGCACAGUCAUCAAAGGUGGUGCUCCAGCAUGGCUUGGGACUGCUGGACUGUCCAGAACACAUACUAAGGAUACUAAGUGUGCAUGCAGGAUGCUAAGGAUGCCGGGCCACCAGCUUUGCACAGGAGUUUUGUUUGAUCAGUUUUGUGUUGAAACAUGUAGUGUUGGGAACUUUCAUGCUCAGUUCAUUUGUAAUUGACUGAUCUAGGACCAAAUUUUUUGUUCGAUAUCCUAUGGAUGGCAAUAUUGGUGACCCACCCACUCAUAGUCAUAGGGAAGGUCGUAAAAAUUUUUUGUUUGCUGCUAUGCAAGUGAGUGAGGCUGAGUGCUGAGUGGCAACUUAUAUAUAGUAUGUCAUUUACAGUAAUUGAUCUGAUUAACUGUCUCUUCAAUUUGUUUACAGACAGUUUGAACUACUGAAUUUUUUAUAACCUUUAUGAUUUAUAAUGAUACCCACAUCUUCUGAAAAUAUUUUUCGCAUACUUGUCGCAACAGACAAUCACCUGGGAUAUGCUGAGAAGGAUGCAGAAAGAGGUGGUGAUAGUUUCAACACUUUCAGAGAGGUACUGGAGUUGGCUGUGGAGCAGAAUGUUGAUUUUGUGUUGCUUGGUGGAGAUCUGUUCCAUGACAACAAGCCCUCCACUCAGUGCCUUGUCAAGUGCAUGGAGCUUCUCAAAACUUAUUCAUUUGGCGACAAAUCAGUUGAAUUUGAGCUUGUGAGUGAUCCUGCUGAAAAUUUCCCUCAUCUAAGAGAGCCUAUGGUGAAUUUCCACAACCCUAACUUGAAUGUUGGCAUCCCAGUGUUCUCCAUCCAUGGAAAUCACGACGACCCUGUUGGUUUGGGACACUUUUGUGCCCUGGACAUGAUAUCCACUGCAGGACUUGUUAACUAUUUUGGAAGAGCAAACAAUCUUCAGGAGAUAAACAUUUCGCCGCUUCUGUUAGUGAAGGGUAAAGCUAAACUUGCUCUGUACGGGCUGUCGGCCGUCAAGGAUGACAGGCUCUUCAGACUCUUCCGAGAAGAAAAGGUUCGUAUGCUGCGUCCCCGCGAGUUCCCCGACGACUGGUACAACGUGCUGGUGCUGCACCAGAACCAUGUCGAGCGUCCGCCUUAUAACUACAUCAGAGAGGAGUUCCUUGAUGGCUUCCUGGACCUGGUCAUCUGGGGGCACGAGCACGAGUGUAAAAUCCUGCCGCGCGAGUCUGCGCAGCAGUAUCAUGUGAUGCAGCCAGGCAGCUCGGUAGCCACGUCGCUGUGUGAGGGGGAGGCUGUUCAAAAGCACGUGGCGCUCCUAGAAAUAAAUGAGGAAAACUGCAUUAAACCUACAGCCUUGCCACUCAAGACUGUGCGGCCAUUCGUUUUUAAGACUGUGAGCCUAGCUGACAACGUGCCUAUGGAUGUGAGAACUACUGAUCAAGUGAGAGCUUCGCUGGUGGAAGAAUUUCUCGAGAAGACCGUGAAGGAAAUGAUCACAGAGUCGCUUGAGCAGUUGACCGGACACCCCCGGCAGCCUAAGAAGCCUCUGAUCAGACUCAGGGUGGACUACACAGACGAACGAGACCUCAUCAACGUCAUCAGAUUUGGACACAGGUUUGAAGAAGAAGUUGCCAACGCCUACGAGAUCCUGUUGUUCCGCAAGGCACGCAAGACCGAGAAAGCCUGCAAGGAAGGCAUCGACAACGAAGCCAUGGACGCCGUCUUUCUCGAAGACGUGGGCGAGAGCAAAGUUGAAGACUUGGUGCGGCAGUAUUUCCUGGAGCUGUCAAGCGACAGCUCGCAGCAGCUGCAACUCCUGACUGAACGCGGCCUGUCCGAAGCCUUCUCCAGCUUUGUCGAGAAAGAUGACAAAGAAGCCAUUGCUGAAAUUUUCAACCACCAAGUGGAACGAACAAUGGCCAAGCUGUCCGCCAUUGAGGACGUGAACGAGGACAACUUUGAGUGGCACUUGAGUGGCCUACUGGCCGAGAGGCUGGCGCGUCGGGACAACGAGGCCCAGGAGGCUGCUGAGGUGAGGACAACUUGAGUGGCCUACUGGCCGAGAGGCUGGCGCGUCGGGACAACGAGGCGCAGGAGGCUGCUGAGGUGAGGACAACUUGAGUGGCCUACUGGCCGAGAGGCUGGCGCGUCGAGACAACGAGGCGCAGGAGGCUGCUGAGGUGAGGACAACUUGAGUGGCCUACUGGCCGAGAGGCUGGCGCGUCGAGACAACGAGGCGCAGGAGGCUGCUGAGGCGGAGGCGGUGCUCGGGGCAGCCAGCCGCCGUCGCGCGCCCACCAGAGGAUCGCGCGACGAUGACGA
rnacentral:misc_RNA from 1 species